GAUGAACGCUGGCGGCGUGCCUAAUACAUGCAAGUCGAGCGAACAGACGAGGAGCUUGCUCGUCUGACGUUAGCGGCGGACGGGUGAGUAACACGUGGAUAACCUACCUAUAAGACUGGGAUAAGUUCGGGAAACCGGAGCUAAUACCGGACCAUAUAUUGAACCGCAUGGUUCAACAGAGAAAGCCGGUUUUGCUGUCACUAAUAGAUGGAUCCGCGCCGCAUUAGCUAGUUGGUAAGGUAACGGCUUACCAAGGCAACGAUGCGUAGCCGACCUGAGAGGGUGAUCAGCCACACUGGAACUGAGACACGGUCCAGACUCCUACGGGAGGCAGCAGUAGGGAAUCUUCCACAAUGGGCGAAAGCCUGACGCAGCCACGCCGCGUGUGUGAUGAAGGUCUUCGGAUCGUAAAGCUCUUUUAGUAGGGAAGAACAAAUGUGUGUGUAACCAUUCCCGUCUUGACGGUACCUACACAGAAAGCCACGGCUAACUUCGUG
rnacentral:rRNA from 1 species